rnacentral:rRNA from 1 species
UACGGGAGGCAGCAGUGGGGAAUAUUGCACAAUGGGCGAAAGCCUGAUGCAGCUAUGCCGCGUGUAUGAAGAAGGCCUUAGGGUUGUAAAGUACUUUCAUCGGGGAGGAAAAACAAAACUAAUAAUUUUAUUUCUUGACGUUACCCGAAAAAGAAGCACCGGCUAACUCCGUGCCAGCAGCCGCGGUAAUACGGAGGGUGCUAGCGUUAAUCAGAAUUACUGGGCGUAAAGAGCACGUAGGUGGUUUUUUUAAGUCAGAUGUGAAAUCCCUGGGCUUAACCUAGGAACUGCAUUUUGAAACUGAAAUACUAGAGUAUCGUAGAGGGAGGUAGAAUUCUAGGUGUAGCGGUGAAAUGCGUAGAUAUCUGGAGGAAUACCUGUGGCGAAAGCGGCCUCCUAAACGAAUACUGACACUGAGGUGCGAAAGCGU